rnacentral:rRNA from 1 species
GGUUUCUUGUAACUAUUUAGGAGAUCUGACCUGCCCACUGAAAAUAUUUUGAAGGGCCGCAGUAUUUUGACUGUGCAAAGGUAGCAUAAUCAUUAGUCUUUUAAUUGAAGGCUGGUAUGAAUGGUUGGAUGAGGUAAAUUCUGUUUUAUGUUAAUUGAUGUUGAAUUUAGAUUUUAAGUAAAAAUACUUAAAUGUUAUUAAGGGACGAGAAGACCCUAUAGAGUUUAAUAAAUGUAAUAAUUAAUUGAGUUAAAGUUUAAUUUUUGGUUUUUAUGUAAUUUAUUUAAUUGGGGUGAUUGGAAGAUAAAAUAAACUCUUCUUUAUAUUUAAUAAAUUAAUUAGUUAUAUGAUCCAUAUUUAAUGAUUAAAAGAUUAAAUUACCUUAGGGAUAACAGCAUAAUUCUUUUUAAGAGUUCAUAUCGAAAAAAGAGAUUGUGACCUCGAUGUUGGAUUAAGAUUAGUUAUGGGUGCAGAUGUUCAAUAACUAGGUCUGUUCGACCUUGAAAAUCUU